rnacentral:lncRNA from 1 species
GCCGGCCUGGCGAGGCCGGAGUAGAAUUGUGGGAGGCUGGCGCCACUGCAGGUGGAGUAAGCCUCCGCUGCGCUCCACCCUGAGAUCGGAGGACCAGGGCGCAGGGAGAGCAAUUUGGUGCUUUCUGGGUCCUCCAAGAAGCGGCCAGAGGAAAAGACAGGGUCACGUGUGGGAAAGGAAUGACUGAAAUGUGCGAGUAGUCACAGAAACGAAGAGAUUUCUCCUUUAAGCUGCAAGGCCAAGUGAGAAGAGAACUAAUGCUCCUAGAAACUAAGAAGGCACGCUGAAGCUUUCAAAGAUCCAGUCACAGGGGACAGUCGUCACAGCCGUCAGCAUCCUAGGCAGGCAUCUGGCUGCUAGUCCGUCGUCAGUAUGGUGUUCAGGUCGUCUCCCAAAUGAAUUCCACAUCUACACAGCACCCUUUGUGUUAAGGCCAUGAUUUUUUUUUUUUAAAUUCCUUCUCGAUAAAGCCAUGGAUGAUCGUAAAUGCUACCUCCAAACUCAUCACCCGGGCUGAGGCUUUGUCAGCAGAGGAGAUCUUUCCAGCUCCAUCGGCUAGCACUUGGUCUUGAGCAGAUUUCUUCAGAUUCAACUCAGUUAGUUCAACAACAACAACAACAAAAAGCAACCAAAAACCUGAGCUGGUUAGCUACAAAUGGAGAAAAUAAAGCCUCCACACAAAAAGGAAUGUUAAGACAAAAUUCUAUUCAAGAAAUCCACCAAUACAGCAUUAAUCCUAUCACGUUUCACAGCAUUAAAUAUGCAUCCAAUGAAAUCUGUCUGCAGGAAAUCCUAAAGGCUUCCACUGAUCAGGCAGAGCGGCUCUCUAAAAAGUUUGCACUUAUCCACACCUGUUUUGCUGAACACAGGAGAAAUAUCCUGUUUAUAACUCAGAUGUCCAUUUACCCAGUCAAGUAAAUUUCAGUAAAUCUUGCUCUUAAAGGACUAUUAAGACCAGAAACUUUCCCUUUUGGAGCCUUUAGUUCAACUCCAGUUUGUCAAUGUUAGGAAUAGUCUAGCAUCUGAUACAGAGCUAGGUUUGACAAGACACUGAAGAAUUUAAGUAAAGGCGUGGUGAAAUGGAGCAGGGAGAAAGGGAGAUUUGUAUCAAGGUUUAAAACUGAAGCCAAAGUGUCAUCUUACUGCAUAAUACAGUAACAACUGCAAACGU